rnacentral:rRNA from 1 species
UGGGGAAUCUUGCACAAUGGGCGAAAGCCUGAUGCAGCGACGCCGCGUGCGGGAAGAAGGCCCUAGGGUUGUAAACCGCUUUCAGCAGGGAAGAAAAUGACGGUACCUGUAGAAGAAGGUGCGGCCAACUACGUGCCAGCAGCCGCGGUGACACGUAGGCACCAAGCGUUGUCCGGAUUUAUUGGGCGUAAAGAGCUCGUAGGCGGUUCAGUAAGUCGGGUGUGAAAACUCUGGGCUCAACCCAGAGAUGCCACUCGAUACUGCUGUGACUUGAGUUCGGUAGGGGAGCGGGGAAUUCCUGGUGUAGCGGUGAAAUGCGCAGAUAUCAGGAGGAACACCAGUGGCGAAGGCGCCGCUCUGGGCCGAGACUGACGCUGAGGAGCGAAAGCGUGGGUAGCAAACAGG